rnacentral:lncRNA from 1 species
UGUUGUGGCCCAGGGGCUUCUAGCCCUACUAGGCAGACCAUGAACCUUGGCGAGAGGCGGCCCAACAAGUGGUGGACGGAGACGGACACGUUCGCCAUGCUGACACUGAUCGAGCAGCUGGACCUGGUGCACGAGCUGGACAAGAAGCGCCAGCGCAACGACUCGCACUUCCGCCGGCUGCGCCACAGCCUGGCCAAGCGCCACAUCCACUUCACCGUCAACCAGAUCCGCAACCGCUGGAAGAGCCUCAAGCACAAGUACCGUAAGAUCAAGACGGCCAGCUACCGCAGCCCUGCCGCACGCCUCUCCGCCAUGGAGUCCUUCCGCUACUUCCGGAUGCUGGACCGCAUGCUGGCCCACAGGCCCAAGGCUGACACCCCCGAGGAGGGCUCGACAGGAGGGCAUGACAUGGUGGUGCUCACCCCCUCCGACCUGGAGGACCACACUGACAGUACUGGUGAUGUGACUCCUGCCCCCUGGCAUGACCCCCUAAUCCCAAAACUGGAAAGUGACGAUGAGGUGAAGCCAGACCCGGACGAGACCCCGAGCCUGGACGAACCGGGCUGGGCCGUGAACGGGAUGGACGAGGUGAUGACCCUGGGGCUGUCUGGGGAGUACCUGGGCUCGGUGAAGGCCGAGCCCAUCCCCUCCUCCUCCUUGCAUAAUCUGGAGGGUGCCAGGGAACCAACUAGCUGUAGCUCAGAGGAGUUUCAAGGCACUUGCGAGGACACCAGCAGCCUCAUCCUUCAGCAGCUGACCAUCCUGAACCACCAGCUGAGCGAGCAGCUGGCCGAGCAAAGGGCCUUCCACUGCAGCAUGCUGGGAAUGAUGGACCGGCAGAUCGAGGUGCUGGAGCAGCUGUCCAGCUUCACGCGCAGCCAACAGGAGGCCAAGGCAGCCAACACCACCGUCACCGCCACCGCCACCGUCUCCAACGUGACCGACGACGACUGCCUGAGCCGAAGGGUCCACGAUGUCCUUCUGCGCAUGGAGAAGAGGAACGUGGGGCAGCCCCUGUCCUUGGAGACACCACCGACGCCAUGUUUGUCCAAACCCUCCCCCUCAGCAGAGCCCCCCGCGCCUCCCUCCUGGACCGUGUCACUCCUGGAGUCCUCGACCCGGCAGGAGUCCUCGGGCCUGGCCGACACGGACUCCGAAGCCGGCCCUAAAGAGGAGGCUCUGGUCGCCAGCGCAGAUGUGGACACACCUGGCCUCGCCAAAGACUCCCAGCCAGAGAGGCAGUCCCCCUCCCCUAAGAAAGGUGCUCUGUUUAAUGGCCUUCUGGACAGCUGCCAGGACCAGUGA